rnacentral:rRNA from 1 species
GACAGAGGGUGCAAACGUUGUUCGGAAUUACUGGGCGUAAAGCGAGUGUAGGCGGUGUGGUAAGUCGGAUGUGAAAGCCCCGGGCUCAACCCGGGAAGUGCACUCGAUACUGCCACGCUAGAGUAUCGGAGAGGUGAGUGGAAUUCCUGGUGUAGCGGUGAAAUGCGUAGAUAUCAGGAGGAACACCUGUGGCGAAAGCGGCUCACUGGACCAUAACUGACGCUGAUGCACGAAAGCUAGGGGAGCAAACAGG